UACGUAGGGCGCGAGCGUCGUCCGGAAUUAUUGGGCGUAAAGCGUCCGCAGGUGGCACUUCAAGUCUGUCGUCAAAGACUGGGGCUUAACCCUAGAAAGGCAGUGGAAACUGAACAGCUAGAGUAUGGUAGGGGCAGAGGGAAUUCCCGGUGGAGCGGUGAAAUGCGUAGAGAUCGGGAAGAACGCCAAGGGCGAAGGCACUCUGCUAGGCCUGAUUUCGCGACUGACACUCAGGGACGAGAGCCAGGGGAGCGAAUGGG
rnacentral:rRNA from 1 species